AAGAUUUCCAACCAGAAAAAUCUCCACCGGGAACUGAGCCGGAGCUGCGUUGCAACACACCGGAGAGGAGGAGGAGAGUUCCUGAACACUGUGAAGUUGGAGUGCCAGGUUGUGUGCUUCACCCCCGAAUGAACACACGUCACCAAGUCGCCACGUUGGUCCAGCGUCUUCAGCCCAAACGCAUCGUUCAGAAAACAAUCUCAUUACCCCAUUUUGAAGAACGUCUCGAUUCCUAAAACACGUCUGGUGACAGACAACAGAAGAGGCUUGCUGCAGGAGCUACGACUGAAGACGCACAGGCGCGUCCUUUUUCAAAAGCAUUUUUUACCUGUGAUGCAUGAUAGAGGUGUGAUACACUGCUGGAACAUGUUGGUGGGAGGAGAACUCCAAAAUGAAGUAUUCCUAAAUUUGCAGCAUCUGCACAAAUUGUAUGUUCUGUUCCCUGGCUGACUCCAGCCUCUGCCUUCCUCCUCUUCCUCCUCUGGCUCAGCUUUGAAACCUCUGCACCUAGCUCCACCCGUCUCUCCCUUCAUCUCUCCUCAGCAGACUGACCCACCUUCCUUUCAGCCUCAAUUCCACCACCACUCCCUCCCCAUCAACCACCCUGAGUAAUUUUAUUUUGUUAAUAAAAUGAUCUAUUUAUCCUUAAUUUCCUUCCUUCAACAUUUGUGU